UGGCAAUCUGCAGACAAAAUCCAGGCGACGUGGACGUACAGCAACUGUCGACUGAGUCCAUGAAAUAUGUGUACUCUCGACAGAAGCGGUUAUGGCACAACUCAGACCGUUAACAUCUGUUAUGAGUGAAUGAGGGGGACUGUGACGAGAGGACACCCUCUGCGUCUGAAGGAAAGAAGGUUUGUACACAAACAU